CACUAUGUAAUAACCUGCAAACCACGCAGGAGAAGUAGAUCGCAUUAGACAAGUCCUAUGUGACAGAUCCGAUUCGGAAGGUAUUGAGGUGGAUCGAACUCAGAUCAUCUAUGUGGAUAACCACUGUCACGCCAAUUUAGAACCGAUCGAAACAGUAUACAACAUAUGGUGGCGUUAUGAAAAGAUUGUUGUUUGUUUCG
rnacentral:lncRNA from 1 species